UACGGAGGGGUUAGCGUUGUUCGGAAUUACUGGGCGUAAAGCGCACGUAGGCGGAUUGGAAAGUUGGGGGUGGAAAUCCCCAGGGCUCAACCCUGGAACGGCCUCCAAAACUACCCAGUCUGGAGUUCGAGAGAGGUGAGUGGGAUUCCGAGUGUAGAGGUGAAAUUCGUAGAUAUUCGGAGGAACACCAGUGGCGAAGGCGGCUCACUGGCUCGAUACUGACGCUGAGGUGCGAAAGUGUGGGGAGCAAACAGGAUUAGAUACCCGGGUAGU
rnacentral:rRNA from 1 species